GCUCUCAAAAUAGCGGGUUGCUGCACUAGGCAGCCCUCCAACGCUCAGUGGUGAUCAAAGAUCCUUGACUAACGUGACAGACCUAUCUUACCAAAUCAGGGUUUUAGAUCAGAUAUAAUGAGCCUAGAAACCAAGCAUGAAUACCAAGAGUAAGGAACUGUGCACUGAAUAAAAUAACAGAACUUAACACAAGUAAUCAGCCUCAACAAAGAGAGAUAUAACUAGGCACAAAUAUAUAUUUAAUGCUGAAAAUAACAACACACUAAAACCCAGACUGUCACGUCGUCUCACUACACCGCUAUCAUCAUCGAGCAAAUAGAUCCGCCCACAAUUUGUUCAAUCACACCCAAGUAUAUAAUACUAGCAGAUUGCACAAAUUUAAACAGUAAAUAAAUAGAGGCAAGGGGUAACUCACAACACGUAGAUUGUUUACGUGGGAAGACCAGCUCAACGAACACAAAGUUCUGUCCCAGAAAACCAAUUCCGCCGCCCACGUCCGAGCCUGCACAGCGGGAGGUUGACGGAGAUACUAGAGCCGCUGCUGAUGCCGUAGGAGACGUCCACGGCACCAGCCCGAGAAGAGGAACACCGCGCAGCAGGGAGCCCAAACACCAGGCCACGGUGGACAGCAACCAGACAAACAAAGCACCACACAGGCGCACAAGUGAGGCAAUGGAGCACAGCUGCACCUCGCCACACAGUAGCAGCAGCAGCACCUCGCCGUACAGGAGCAGCAGCACCUCGCCGUCGCCACAUAGGAGCAGUAGCACAAUGGAGAAAGGAGCAGAGAGCGUGUGUCUCUUGUGCCCAGAAAGGAGGGGAUUUACCUCCCAUUUGUAAGGGACCGAGCAGAGGAGAGGAGAACCGAACUUGCGAGAGAUACGGCUGAGACCGCCGCCCAGAUCGGAGAGCAGUUGAGGGCGCCGCCGCUUGCCCUCUCGACCGCCCAGCCCCUGCGCGAUGCGCCCUGCGCCCUCUGCGCGAUGCACUCUGCGCCCUCGUCCCAGCCAGCCGGCUGGGUUGCUCGGCCUUAAGGCCUGGAAGCGGCCCAGCUCGGCUGGCCCAUCCUUUUUUUAAAUUCAUUUCUUUAUUUCCAAUAUGAAAAUAAAAGGGAAACCCCAAAAUGAACAGCAAUCCCCACCAUUUUCACUCUUAUUUUCUGAUCAAUGUCAUUGAGCUCCCGUACUGUUUAUAUACUACUUUUUGGUAGAGGUACUUGUUAGGUUUGAACCAAAGCCUAUCCCAGUGUACUCCAACCCUGCACAGGUAAGCGGAGGACUACGCCUUGAUCCACAAACCCUAGUGUGAGAAUCUUCGCACAAAAGGCACAUAGUACUAGGCAGAUAAUCUGCUUCUCUUACGGGGCAGGGCGUUACGGUCAUGCCCUUUAGUAUCUAUUCAUAAGCUCACUAGAGAGAAAACCCCAUUCUCUCCCGGACUGCGACCCCACAGUCAGCUCAUAUAGGCGAAAAUUCUGUAGGACAAUUUUCCUGCUUAUAGCAUUGACUUCAUUAAGAGCAUAUCGCUCAACCUGCCAUACAGAUAAAGCACAGCAGCUCAUGAGACUCUUUGUUUUGUUGUGCUCUUGGUUUCACAGUGCUUCGUCUCCUGGAGCCUGGAUCUCGGGACCUCCGGUCACAUAGGACAGUUAUCCGCAGUUGAAACCGCUAACAGGGUACGAGUCCCAUUCCCAUGCACGCUGCUUGAAUUGGCUUUUGAGCCAGUCCUUUGGUGAAAGGAUCAGCAAGGUUCCUUUCAGACUUGAUGUAAUCUACGGUUAUUACACCCGUCUCUCUAGCAUACCGACAUGAAGCAAGUCGUCUUCUGAUAUGCCUCGAGGAUUUUUGGUUGUCCUUUCUACUAUUCACUUUCAGCAACAUAGAGGUGUUGUCACAGUAUACUAGGACGGCCGGUAUCGGCUUUGCUAACAUUGGAAGGUCUGACAACAGGUCUCCCAACCAUUCAGCCUCCAAUGCUGCUGAAUCAAGCGCAACUAAUUCAGCCUCCUUGGUGGAACGUGUCGACACUGUUUGUUUAGACGAUCUCCAUGACACGGCCCCACCAGCUAAAGUGAACACAUAGCCACUUAUAGACUUCAUUUGAUCCGAGUCAGAGAUCCAGUUUGCAUCACUAAAUCCUUCAAGUACUGACGGAUAUCCAGUAUAUUUAAUACCGAGAUUCAUCGCUCCCUUCAAAUACCGAAGCACUCUGUACAAGGCUACCCAGUGUCUAUCUCCUGGACUGGACGAAUAACGAGCCAGUCUGCAUACUGCAUAUGAGAUAUCUGGUCUAGUUGCACUACUGAGGUACAUGAGAGAUCCAAUGAUUUGCGAAUAUAGUAGCUGGUUCACAGGCUCGUCUUCAUUUUUACAGAGCGUGUAUGAUGGAUCAUAGGGCGUGGCGACUGGAUUACAGUCCAUAUGUCCAAAGCGAGUCAGGACCUUUUCCACAUAAUGGGAUUGUGACAAAGUAAUCCCAUCCUCACCCUUUAUCAGCUUGAUGUUCAAUAUUACAUCAGCUUCACCCAAGUCCUUCAUAUCAAAGUUCUUGGAGAGGAAUACUUUUGUCUCCAUGAUAGCCUCCAAAUCGGUCCCAAAUAUCAAUAUGUCAUCAACGUAUAAACACAAGAUGACACCUUUGCCCCCAGAGAAGCGAUAAUACACACACUUGUCGGCUUCGUUUACACAAAACCCGGCAGUGGUCAGAGUGUUAUCAAACUUCUCAUGCCAUUGUUUGAAAGCUUGCUUAAGACCGUAUAAGGAUUUAAUCAAGCGACACACUUUGCUCUCUUGUCCUUUAACCACAAAUCCUUCUGGUUGCUGCAUAUAAAUUUCCUCUUCCAGCUCUCCAUUUAGGAAUGCUGUCUUUACGUCCAUUUGAUGAACAAGAAGUUUAUAAGCAGCCGCCAGCGCCAAAAGCACACGGAUUGUAGGCAAUCGAGCCACCGGAGAAUAAGUAUCAAAAUAAUCCUCCUCUUUCUUUUGAGUAAAACCCUUAGCCACAAGACGGGCCUUGUACUUUUCAAUAGUACCAUCAGGUCUCCUCUUCCUCUUAAAGAUCCAUUUGCAGCCCACAGGCUUGCAACCAGCUGGGAGAUCAGAUAUCUCCCAAGUUUCAUUCGAGAUGAUAGAAUCCAUCUCGCUACGAACAGCCUCCCUCCAGUACUUUGCAUCCGGAGAUGCAUAUGCCUCUGCGAGGGAGCGUGGUUCUUCAUCCACUAGAUAAAUUAUAUAAUCAUCUCCCAGAGACUUUUCAGUCCUUUGUCUCUUACUCCUCCUUAACUCCAAAUCUGGAGUCUGAUCAAGGACAUGUGAGGGCAGAGAAUAUGUCCGAGAUGGACCAUCUGAGGCUACUACUUCCUUAUCCCGCAUAGGGAAAAUGCUCUCAAAGAAUGUCACAUCCCGAGAUUCCAUUAUGACAUUUACAGCGACUUCGCUCGUCUCGGAAUGGACCACUAGAAAUCUAUAAGCUGCACUGUUAUGUGCAUAACCCAGGAAGACACAGUCUACGGUCUUAGGGCCUAGCUUUCUCUUCUUCGGCAACGGGACAUUCACCUUUGUAAGGCAGCCCCAAGUCCGAAGAUGAGAAAGAUCUGGCUUCCUUCCUUUAAAUCCUUCAUAGGGCGCGGCCUCACGGUUGUGAGGCGGCACCCUGUUCAGGACAUAGCACACCGUGAGUACUGCCUCGCCCCACCAGAUGUCAGGCAUCCCCGAGCUUUGCAACAAAGCAUUAGCUAAGUCACACACCAUUCGGUUCUUCCUUUCAGCUACCCCGUUUGACUGAGGUGAAUAUGGAGCGGUGGUUUCAUGAAUGAUUCCACACUCUUUGCAGUACUCAUCAAAAAGGUUGGAGAGGUAUUCACCUCCUCUAUCUGACCGCAACCUUUUAAUUUUCUUGUCUAACUGGUUUUCAACUUCAGUCUUAUAGAUCUUAAAGUAUUCUAGUGCCUCAUCUUUGGUUCUGAGUAAGUAAAUAUAACAGAACCUGGUAGCAUCAUUUAUUAAGGUAAGGAAGUAUCUUUUACCGCCUUUUGUGAUUAUACCAUCCAUCUCACACACAUCUGAGUGAAUUAGUUCUAAAGGAGUGGUACUUCUACCCUCAACCGUAUGAAACGGCUUCCUGGGCUGUUUAGCUUGCACACAAAUACCACACUUUGCACCUUUAGCAUGUUUGUAUUCAGGAAUUAAAGACAUGUCACUUAAUCUCUUAAUGGCCUCAAAAUUCACAUGACAUAAACGGGAAUGCCAAAUAUCAUUAAUGGAAUCGUUAUUACAGACCACAUUAACAUGGUAAGAAGAAUGAUUGUUCAGAACAGAAAGACGGAACAAACCGCUUGACUCAUAUGACUUUCCAACGAAAGUACCAAACUUAGACAGGACCACUUUAUUAGACUCAAACACUAAUUUGAGACCCUGUCGAAGUAGCAGCGACACGGAUAUGAGGUUCCGGUUCAUCGAGGGCACAUAGAGUACGUCCUUCAGCACGAGCGUCUUCCCUGAAGUUAACUUCAUGUAGACCUGUCCAGUGCCUCGAACUGCUGCCGGAACACCAUUUCCCAUCAAGACCGGUGCGCUGCUGUAUCCCUGGAAUGAAGAGAACAUGGAUCGAUCAACACAAAUAUGAACAUUAGCACCUGAAUCUAUCCACCAGUCAUCUGAUGGACUUGCCAUAAAGGCCUGAGGUGCAUACCCUGAGGUGGAGUUAACCACCACGUUCCCUUCUUUGCGCUGAGGUGGAGGACCUUUUCCCUUCCUUAGCUUGCACCUCUGAGCAGUAUGCCCGGAGACACCACAAACGAAGCAGAUAAAGUCCUCCUUCUUCUUCUUCAUCUUUUUAGGCUUAGGUUGGUUCUGAUUCUUCUGUGGAGAGUUCUUCUUCUUCUUCUUCUGGAAUUUUCUAUCUCCGCCCUUCUCUACAAUGUGAGCUUGGAGUUGCUGGGAUGGCUUGUUACUGGCCCUUGCACGCUCCUCCACAUUUAUAGCAGCAGACAGCUCAGUGAGGGACAUUUGCUUCUUCAUGUGGCGGCGUGAAGUCACAAAGUCUCGCCAAGAAGGUGGAAGUUUUGCCAGUAUCGCAUUCACCUGAAAACUGUCUGGUAUGACGCAGCCAUAUUGGACCAAGUCCCUUACAAGGAGUUGAAUCUCCUGUAGCUGCUCCAUAACAGACCUUCCCUCAGCCAUUUUAUAGUUGAGGUAGUUUUCCGUUGUGAAUGACUCAUUGCCAUUGUCAACUUCAGAGAACUCAUUCUCAAGUUCAGUCCAUAGACCCUUAGCGGAGGUAAAACCAGAGUACACGUCAAAUAAGUGGUUCAAUAAGACGUUCAGCAGACGAGACAAGCAUGCCUCAUUGGCUUCGUCCCACUUGGCCUUCUCCGCUAGUGCGGCGGCCUUCGCUGCAUCAUCAGCAUCAUCUGAUGCAGCCUGGGGAACAGUCGACAACACUACCCAAAAUAAUUUUAGGUCAGUGGGCCACAUGUGAGUCUUAAUCUGCCAGCGCUUAAAGCAUGCGCCGUCGAACGCUUCAGGCUUAAUGACAUCAGAACUGGAGGCCAUUACCGGAAGUGGUUUUCUGGAUUGUUGUAGUUUUAGAGAAAUAAGUGACAUACUUUCAAUAUAUUUAAAGAUAUUAAAUAUACUAAUUCCGAAUAAAACAAGCAUAUAACUCAGAUAAAUGCCAUAUAUAAUUAUAACAGCAAUGAACAGUAGCAAUUCUAGGACAUGAAAACAUGUAAUAUAGCUACUCAAGUCCAUUUGAACAUUAAACAUGGCCAGUAGAUGAAGAAGGCAGAUUAUACACAUAAACAUGAUAGUUUAUAUUUUGAUAUUGCUCUCAAAAUAGCGGGUUGCUGCACUAGGCAGCCCUCCAACGCUAAGUGGUGAUCAAAGAUCCUUGACUAAUGUGACAGUCCUAUCUUACCAAAUCAGGGUUUUAGAUCAGAUAUAAUGAGCCUAGAAACCAAGCAUGAAUACCAAGAGUAAGGAACUGCGCACUAAAUAAAAUAACAGAACUUAACACAAGUAAUCAGCCUCAACAAAGAGAGAUAUAACUAGGCACAAAUAUAUAUUUAAUGCUGAAAAUAACAACACACUAAAACCCAGACUGUCACGUCGUCUCACUACACCGCUAUCAUCAUCGAGCAAAUAGAUCCGCCCACAAUUUGUUCAAUCACACCCAAAUAUAUAAUACUAGCAGAUUGCACAAAUUUAAACAGUAAAUAAAUAGAGGCAACGGGUAACUCACAACACGUAGAUUGUUUACGUGGGAAGACCAGCUCAACGAACACAAAGUUCUGUCCCAGAAAACCAAUUCCGCCGCCCACGUCCGAGCAUGCACAGCGGGAGGUUGACGGAGAUACUAGAGCCGCUGCUGAUGCCGUAGGAGACGUCCACGGCACCAGCCCGAGAAGAGGAACACCGCGCAGCAGGGAGCCCAAACACCAGGCCACGGUGGACAGCAACCAGACAAACAAAGCACCACGCAGGCGCACAAGUGAGGCAAUGGAGCACAGCUGCACCUCGCCACACAGUAGCAGCAGCAGCACCUCGCCGUACAGGAGCAGCAGCACCUCGCCGUCGCCACAUAGGAGCAGUAGCACAAUGGAGAAAGGAGCAGAGAGCGUGUGUCUCUUGUGCCCAGAAAGGAGGGGAUUUACCUCCCAUUUGUAAGGGACCGAGCAGAGGAGAGGAGAACCGAACUUGCGAGAGAUACGGCUGAGAUCGCCGCCCAGAUCGAAGAGCAGUUGAGGGCGCCGCCGCUCGCCCUCUUGGCCGCCCAGCCCCUGCGCGAUGCGCCCUGCGCCCUCUGCGCUCUGCGCCCUCGUCCCAGCCAGCCGGCUGGGUUGCUCGGCCUUAAGGCCUGGAAGCGGCCCAGCUCGGCUGGCCCAUCCUUUUUUUAAUUCAUUUCUUUAUUUCCAAUAUGAAAAUAAAAAAGAAAACCCCAAAAUGAACAGCAGUAUGCCCAUGACCAACUCACUCAAGCCUGAGAACUAAGUUAAAGAAGUCAAAGCACGUGCUUCAGAGGAGGUCGUCACUAGCAAACUCCAACAAGCAUCCAGAUGUUGAUGACAUCAAAUGGUCAAAGGAUUUCCCAAGAACAUAUAAAAGAGGCAAGCACUUCCUCCCAAACCAGAUCAUCCAGCUAGCGCAUGCCACUUGGAAUGAGAAAGUUCCAUGAUUGGUACUUGUGUGCUGUCCCAACGAAACUAAA
rnacentral:lncRNA from 1 species